GAGAGCUCAGAGCCAACCAAGAGGAGUGGAGAGGAAGAAGCUGAAGAGAGCAUCACCUGGGCCAGUGAAGAUGCUUCUGUGGACCGCAGGUGGUCUUCAAGGAAGCCUGGACACCUGUGGUCUUUCAGAUGGAAUAAGAGCAACAGCUGUCUGUUUCUCACGCCUGUGAUCCUCUAGACGCUCAGGAGAUGAGAUCUAAGCACUGUGCCUCAAAGCCAGCCCAAGCAGGAAAUUCUAUCAGACUUUUACCUGUGUUAAUCACCAAAAAGUGGAUGUAAAGCUAGUACCCCUGGGCUGAGCCACAUUACACCUGUCACCUAUGAGUUGGGCCACAUACAGCAUCCAUGGGCUGGGCCACUUUACACCCAAUGCUCAUGGGCUUCCCUCUUGACCCCCAUUUAAGAAAUGCAAAGGCUGCUAGAUUGUCAGAUUGACCCCGUCAAUGGUUUUUAACAAAUGUAAACAUUGGCACAUAGUCGUUUGAUUCUCAGUCAAGAUUGCACAGGAAUUUUUUUAUUGUCAUUAUAAAGAUGCUGUACAGAGAGCUUACCAUUUCAUAAGUCAGGUAAUGAGUACAUUUCUCUUUGGACAAUGCCACCCUUCCUUCAUGCCCAGCUUUUCCUUUUUGCCCUCGCCUGUAAAUUUGCACAGGGAUGCUUUGUAUUACUUGGGAGAUCUAUAAUUGUGGCUGAAGGUGACACUGUGAUAAAGUUUUUACAGAUAAAUGGUCUUGAAGUGAAGAUUUCAGGAACUGUCAGCCUCAACUUCUAUCUCCAAAGCGUUAGCAAAGCCCCAUAUGGCCCUUUAAGGCCCAAGAAGCCCUCAUUCCCCUGCAGUGGGAGCCCACUCCCCAGGCCAGAUAGGUAGGUUUUCAGAUAGGGUCUUACGCAGGACCGUGAUGGGGUAAUCCUCCCACUUCUGCCUCCUAUGUAACAGGGUUAUAGGCAUGCACCACAACACCUGGCUUGUCCUUUGAAAUAGAGUCUUUGGAUUGGAGUCAGGCUCAAGUUAGUAGAGUGCCAACCAAUGAACAAAAGCACCAGUUACCAAGUUCAACUCCCAAUCUCAGACAAAAAAAAUAGAAUCUAUUUGUCCAGGCUAGCCUCCAACUAUGAUACCCCUACCUCCACUUCUCUAGUAGCUGGGAUUACAGGUGUGUUCCACAGGGCCUGGCUACAAAGGCCAGGUUUAUUUAUUCACUAGAGAGGCAUAGGUAGAAAGUCCAUAAGAGAAUGAGCAUAAAUGAGUAUGGUACAAAACUCAGGUUCCUGACUCUUCAAGGUGAAAGUGUGGGCGAUUCGGUUCUGCCACUUGUGCAUUGGAAAGCCCUGUUCUUACCCUCCUCUCCAUCAGCGCCUGCCUCCCACUUCUCAGGGCUGGUCAGAGCAAUGUGCUGACACUCAGCGUUCCAAGGAGGUUGUCACAGAAUGACCCGCCUUCAGCCAGAUUCUUCCUGGAGCCUGAUCUGAUAGUUGAAAUUCCAGGCACCAUCUUGUACUCUUCAGGUCGCUUUGAGAAUGUAAGCCAGGAGCAAAGGAUGGUACUGGAAAAGCAUCUAAAUGCUAGUGACUCCAGAAGUCUUGUGAUCAUGUCCACUCGGUAAGAGUGAUUUGUACAAAGCAGAUUUCUGAGGCUGUCUCUGAGGUUAAUGAUGGAGAAUUAACGAAGAGAGUAAAAGCUACACUAAAUAUAGGAGCCUUGACAGGAUAAAAGUAUUUGUUUUCUCUGUCUCUCUUCUUCCCAUUCUCCUUCCCUACUUUCCUCCCCCUGCUUCCUGGCUGCCUGAUAUGAGAUGCUCUAUUCUUCAAUACCCUCCCCACCAUGAUGGACCGCUGACAUUUCUUCCCAGUAGAUUGGCUGGGUACAGCCCAUACUGCAGCUCUUGAGAGCUAGCAUUCCACACUGGUAGCUCUACUGGUUUGGGGCAUCAGAGGUUGACCUACCCCAGGCACUGCCCUGAUGGAUGAGCAGCAGUCCUACCUCUGUGACAGCUCUGUACCUGGGCCCAGUGAUUUCUGAGAAUCGUUGGAAAUCAAGGUGAUUUCAAAGAUAGACAGGUGUCCACAGCUCGUGCUGUGCACCUACUGAAUUAGAAACACUGAGGCUUGUCCUACCCUAAAGGGCAACCCAGGCCAUGUUUCAAUCUACUUCAGCCAAAUCUGGGGCUACAGAGGUAUGCUGUGCUUGGCAUGGAGGCAGAGAGCCCUGAGCAAACCCCAUGAAGCCAGCGCCAUAUUCCCAUAGAGGCCUUGGGCCCUCCCGUGACAUCUAAUGCGCUCAGAGUGUGGUGCAGAGCCUGUGAUUGGUGGAGCCGCUGCAGACAUCUCUGAAAUGUCCUCAGAGUCAUUGUCCCGUGUCUUGACAAAUACCGCCUGGCUUUCCCACUGGACCACAGACUAGACGUCAUACUUUCUCUUUACAACCUGGCAUGGCUGUGGAAUUUCCAACUCUUUUAAGAUCUGCUUCCUUUUGCUUUACAAAUUCCAUCUUUAAUUUUUCUCUCUUCCCUAAGCCAUGAAGAGAGCUUUUAUUGAGAGCUUUCUUAUGCUAAAUAUCCUAAUUUGUUGUCCCGAAACUCUUAAUUCCCAGGAGGCACAGGACACAAAUGCGAUCAGCCAGCUGUUCGCUACUUGGGCAUAUGAGUAGUCUUUCUUACUGUUUCAGUGUUUCCUUCCUCCUUUCUUAAACCUUAUUAGAAAGAUCUUCGUUGUCCAUAUUUCUACCAGCAUUCUGAUUGGUUGAGAAUAUGCCAUGUAAACUUGUAAUGUACAACCAUUAAAGAAACUGGUUAGUAAGUAGCAAAUAAAAACAGGGAAACAAGCAGAUGUGGAUGAUUUCUUCAGAAGUACUUGAUGCAUGAUUAAUGCUUAUUUUAUGAAAUGGUGAAUAGGAAAAUCUUGGGCCAAAAAUUCCAGAAUGUUCUGCCAUUAAAAGUUUGCUAAUGUAAAUCACAUAAUCAAAAGAUUAAAGAAGAAAAAAAAUAAAAUGA